rnacentral:rRNA from 1 species
UACGUAGGGUGCAAGGCGUUAAUCGGAAUUACUGGGCGUAAAGCGUGCGUAGGCGGUUUGUUAAGACAGGUGUGAAAUCCCCGGGCUUAACCUGGGAACUGCGCUUGUUACUGGCAGACGUUGAGUGUGGCAGAGGGGGGUGGAAUUCCUGGUGUAGCGGUGAAAUGCGCAGAUAUCGAGGAGGAACACCGGUGGCGAAGGCGGGUCUCUGGGCCGAUACUGACGCUGGAGGAGCGAAAGCGUGGGGAGCGAACAGG